AUGCUCACUUUGGCAGCACUUACACUAAAACUGGAAUAAUAUAGAGCAGAUUAGCAUGGCCCCAAGGGAAGGAUAACAUGCAAAUCUGUGUAACACCCAUAUUUUU
ensembl:snRNA U6 U6 spliceosomal RNA